rnacentral:rRNA from 1 species
AGAUUGAACGCUAGCGGGAUGCUUUACACAUGCAAGUCGAACGGCAGCGCGGACUUCGGUCUGGCGGCGAGUGGCGAACGGGUGAGUAAUAUAUCGGAACGUGCCCAGUAGCGGGGGAUAACUACGCGAAAGCGUGGCUAAUACCGCAUACGCCCUGCGGGGGAAAGGGGGGAUUCUUCGGAACCUCUCACUAUUGGAGCGGCCGAUAUCAGAUUAGCUAGUUGGCGGGGUAACGGCCCACCAAGGCGACGAUCCGUAGCUGGUCUGAGAGGAUGAUCAGCCACACUGGAACUGAGACACGGUCCAGACUCCUACGGGAGCAGCAGUAGGGAAUG